rnacentral:rRNA from 1 species
UGGGGAAUCUUGCACAAUGGGGGAAACCCUGAUGCAGCGACGCCGCGUGAGCGAUGAAGCCCUUCGGGGUGUAAAGCUCUUUCGGCAGGAACGAUAAUGACGGUACCUGCAGAAGAAGCUGCGGCUAACUACGUGCCAGCAGCCGCGGUAAUACGUAGGCAGCAAGCGUUGUUCGGAGUUACUGGGCGUAAAGAGUGCGUAGGCGGUUCGUUAAGUCGGAUGUAAAAUCUCCUGGCUCAACUGGGAGGCACCAUUCGAUACUGGCGAGCUGGAGUGCAUCAGAGGAGAAUGGAAUUCCCGGUGUAGUGGUGGAAUGCGUAGAUAUCGGGAGGAACACCAGUGGCGAAAGCGGUUCUCUGGGAUGUUACUGACGCUGUUGCACGAAAGCGUGGGGAUCGAACA